ACUCCUGCGGGAGGCAGCAGUGGGGAAUUUUGGACAAUGGGCGAAAGCCUGAUCCAGCAAUGCCGCGUGCAGGAUGAAGGCCUUCGGGUUGUAAACUGCUUUUGUACGGAACGAAAAAGCUCCUUCUAAUACAGGGGGCCCAUGACGGUACCGUAAGAAUAAGCACCGGCUAACUACGUGCCAGCAGCCGCGGUAAUACGUAGGGUGCGAGCGUUAAUCGGAAUUACUGGGCGUAAAGCGUGCGCAGGCGGUUAUGUAAGACAGAUGUGAAAUCCCCGGGCUCAACCUGGGAACUGCAUUUGUGACUGCAUGGCUAGAGUACGGUAGAGGGGGAUGGAAUUCCGCGUGUAGCAGUGAAAUGCGUAGAUAUGCGGAGGAACACCGAUGGCGAAGGCAAUCCCCUGGACCUGUACUGACGCUCAUGCACGAAAGCGUGGGGAGCAAACAGGAUUAGAAACCCCAGUAGUCCCAUG
rnacentral:rRNA from 1 species